AUUGAACGCUGGCGGCAUGCCUUACACAUGCAAGUCGAACGGCAGCAUGGGUGCUUGCACCUGAUGGCGAGUGGCGAACGGGUGAGUAAUGCAUCGGAACGUACCCGGAAGUGGGGGAUAACGUAGCGAAAGUUACGCUAAUACCGCAUAUUCUGUGAGCAGGCAAGCGGGGGAUCGCAAGACCUCGCGCUUCCGGAGCGGCCGAUGUCGGAUUAGCUAGUUGGGGGGGGAAAGGCCCACCAAGGCAACGCUCCGUAUCGGGUCUGAGAGGAUGGUCCGCCACACUGGGACUGAGACACGGCCCAGACUCCUACGGGAGGCAGCAGUGGGGAAUUUUGGACAAUGGGCGCAAGCCUGAUCCAGCCAUGCCGCGUGAGUGAAGAAGGCCUUCGGGUUGUAAAGCUCUUUCGGCUGGGAAGAAAUCGCAUCUCCUAAUACGGGGUGUGGAUGACGGUACCAGCAUAAGAAGCACCGGCUAACUACGUGCCAGCCGCCGCAGUAACAC
rnacentral:rRNA from 1 species